rnacentral:rRNA from 1 species
CCUUAUGCAGGAGGAUAGCCCAUGGAAACGUGGAUUAAUACUCCAUACUAUUAGUAUUAUGCAUGUAAUAUUAAUAAAAACUACGGUGGCAUAAGAUGGGCAUGCGUCUGAUUAGUUAGUUGGUGAGGUAACGGCUCACCAAGGCGACGAUCAGUAGGGGUUCUGAGAGGAUUAUCCCCCACACUGGUACUGAGACACGGACCAGACUCCUACGGGAGGCAGCAGUGAGGAAUAUUGGUCAAUGGGUGAGAGCCUGAACCAGCCAUCCCGCGUGCAGGAUGACGGCCCUAUGGGUUGUAAACUGCUUUUCUACGCCAAGAAAGGUCCCUACGUGUAGGGAAUUGACGGUAGCGUAGGAAUAAGCAUCGGCUAACUCCGUGCCAGCAGCCGCGGUAAUACGGAGGAUGCAAGCGUUAUCCGGAUUUAUUGGGUUUAAAGGGUGCGCAGGCGGGUUUUUAAGUCAGUGGUGAAAUACUGCCGCUUAACGGUAGAAUUGCCAUUGAAACUAGGAAUCUUGAGUGUGGUUGAGGUAGGCGGAAUGUGUAGUGUAGCGGUGAAAUGCAUAGAUAUUACACAGAACACCGAUUGCGGAGGCAGCUUACUAAGCCAUAACUGACGCUGAGGCACGAAAGCGUGGGGAGCGAACAGGAUUAGAUACCCUGGUAGUCCACGCUGUAAACGAUGUCACUCGCUGUUUGCGAUACACAGUAAGCGGCUGAGCGAAAGCAUUAAGUGAACCACCUGGGGAGUACGAUCGCAAGGUUGAAACUCCAAGGAAUUGACGGGGGCCCGCA